AUGAACGCUGGCGGCGUGCUUAACGCAUGCCAGUCGAACGAAGCACUUUAUUUGAUUUCCUUCGGGACUGAUUAUUUUGUGACUGAGUGGCGGACGGGUGAGUAACGCGUGGGUAACCUGCCUUGUACAGGGGGAUAACAGUUGGAAACGGCUGCUAAUACCGCAUAAGCGCACAGCAUCGCAUGAUGCAGUGUGAAAAACUCCGGUGGUAUAAGAUGGACCCGCGUUGGAUUAGCUAGUUGGUGAGGUAACGGCCCACCAAGGCGACGAUCCAUAGCCGACCUGAGAGGGUGACCGGCCACAUUGGGACUGAGACACGGCCCAAACUCCUACGGGAGGCAGCAGUGGGGAAUAUUGCACAAUGGGCGAAAGCCUGAUGCAGCGACGCCGCGUGAGCGAAGAAGUAUUUCGGUAUGUAAAGCUCUAUCAGCAGGGAAGAUAAUGACGGUACCUGACUAAGAAGCACCGGCUAAAUACGUG
rnacentral:rRNA from 1 species